GGUGCUGUGGUGUAGUCGGUUAUCACGUCAGUCUUACACACUGAAGGUCCCCAGUACGAACCUGGGCAGCACCA
rnacentral:tRNA from 1 species